UCAAAGGCUCUUUUCAGAGCCACCCAUAUCUACAUGGAAAGAGCUG
rfam:Cricetulus griseus cell line CHO-K1, whole genome shotgun sequence.